rnacentral:rRNA from 1 species
AAUAUUGCACAAUGGGUGAAACCCUGAUGCAGCGACGCCGCGUGAGUGAAGAAGUAAUUCGGUAUGUAAAGCUCUAUCAGCAGGGAAGAUAAUGAUGGUACCUGACUAAGAAGCCCCGGCUAACUACGUGCCAGCAGCCGCGGUAAUACGUAGGGGGCAAGCGUUAUCCGGAUUUACUGGGUGUAAAGGGAGCGUAGGUGGUUCGGUAAGUCAGAUGUGAAAGCCCGGGGCUCAACCCCGGGACUGCAUUUGAAACUAUCGAACUAGAGUGUAGGAGAGGUAAGUGAAAUUCCUAGUGUAGCGGUGAAAUGCGUAGAUAUUAGGAGGAAAACCAGUGGCGAAGGCGGCUUACUGGACUAUAACUGGAACUGAGGCUCGAAAGCGUGGGGAGCAAACAGG